GACGAACGCUGGCGGCGUGCUUAACACAUGCAAGUCGAACGGAAAGGCCCUGCUUUUGUGGGGUGCUCGAGUGGCGAACGGGUGAGUAACACGUGAGUAACCUGCCCUUGACUUUGGGAUAACUUCAGGAAACUGGGGCUAAUACCGGAUAGGAGCUCCUGCUGCAUGGUGGGGGUUGGAAAGUUUCGGCGGUUGGGGAUGGACUCGCGGCUUAUCAGCUUGUUGGUGGGGUAGUGGCUUACCAAGGCUUUGACGGGUAGCCGGCCUGAGAGGGUGACCGGGCCUGAGGGGGCCGAGCAUGCGCCCCAGACUCUUGCGGUGGGCAGUAGUGGGGAUACUGGCGCGAUGGGGUGAGGCAUGACGAAGGCGCGCGGCGGGCGGGAUGCCGGCCUUCGGGUUGUAACCCGCUUUCGGUGGGGGCGACGCGGGAGUCAUGGUAAUGGGCAAAGAAGCACCGGCGAACUUCGUCCGAGCAGCCGGUGUUAUAGGAAGAGCACCCACCUGCAC
rnacentral:rRNA from 1 species